rnacentral:lncRNA from 1 species
UUUUUAACUUGCAUUCUUACUCAUUUUAUAAUGAUUCUCUUGCUUGCGUUCUUUCUUAUCUUUCUUUAGACUGACAUGUUUUCUUUAUUGCAAUGUUUUCAUUCUUAAUAGCCAUAAUCUUUCAUUAUAUACUACUGAAUUUGCUUCCUAUUUCCCAGCUACUCAUCUAACGGUUAAUUCCUAACUUUCAAUGCUAUUGUCAUUCCCUAGUAGCGGCACCAAAAUGUGAUUGUCAUUUUACUUAUUCUAUAAUUCCUUCCAAAACAUAGGAAAAGACUAAAGGCAUGAGUUUCACUUAUAAGGUUACAUAAUUAACUGUAUUCGAAACCACUAAAACACUUAGAAAUACUACAAUGCUUCCUCCUAGUAACAAUACUUCUUCAUCAAUUGAUAACCACAAUAUGCAACCCUGCACUCUCAAAAGACUACUCAAAACUCAAUAAAUUCCAUCCAACACCAAGAAUAACAGACUUCACUCCAACCAAUCUGAAUUCACAAAAUCCUUGUAAUUAUAGACUUCCUCUAUCAAAACACACACACACAACUUUCAAUAAACAACAAUCAUAAUCUUCUAUCCAUAAUCAAUCUUCCAAUAACAUUUCAUAUAAUUCAAUCACUCAGUACUCCAAUUACAUAAUCAAUAACUCAUAAAUUGAUCUCUGAUUUAUUCCACAGACUCACUUCUCAGUAUUCAAAAACUAUCCAUUACUCUUUACUAACAAAACAACAAAGUGAACAAAGAGGUAGCACCAAGCUUAACCCAGGCUCAUGACUAUCAUAAUCUGGCACCCCAACAAACUUCUACAACUCUUAUAUAAUUGCUACUGAUUUUUAGAUCCUAACCGUAAUCCUAUAAUUAACCACUUUUAAUAACUAAAUCAACCAUCCGUCCUCCUAAACUAACUAUUCUAUGGACUAUUAGUUUAUUUUAUCAACAUAUUAUAAAAACAAACUAAUAUCUAUUCUAUAAUAACUCAUAAAUCAAUCUCUAAUUUAUUCCACAGA